rnacentral:snoRNA from 1 species
UUAUUGUGAUGAAAAACCUUUUUUUUUCAGUUCUGCUUCUGAACCAAAUAUUCUGAAGAUAACCUUAUACCAAAGCUCAAUAACUGAUUA